GGGGAUGUAGCUCAGUUGGUUAGAGCGCCUGCUUUGCAAGCAGGAGGUCGGGAGUUCGAAUCUCCCCAUCUCCA
rnacentral:tRNA from 1 species